rnacentral:rRNA from 1 species
AGAGUUUGAUCCUGGCUCAGAUUGAACGCUGGCGGCAUGCCUUACACAUGCAAGUCGAACGGCAGCAUAGGAGCUUGCUCCUGAUGGCGAGUGGCGAACGGGUGAGUAAUAUAUCGGAACGUGCCCUAGAGUGGGGGAUAACUAGUCGAAAGACUAGCUAAUACCGCAUACGAUCUACGGAUGAAAGUGGGGGAUCGCAAGACCUCAUGCUCCUGGAGCGGCCGAUAUCUGAUUAGCUAGUUGGUGGGGUAAAAGCCUACCAAGGCAACGAUCAGUAGCUGGUCUGAGAGGACGACCAGCCACACUGGGACUGAGACACGGCCCAGACUCCUACGGGAGGCAGCAGUGGGGAAUUUUGGACAAUGGGGGCAACCCUGAUCCAGCAAUGCCGCGUGAGUGAAGAAGGCCUUCGGGCUGUAAAGCUCUUUUGUCAGGGAAGAAACGGUGGUAGCGAAUAACUACUACUAAUGACGGUACCUGAAGAAUAAGCACCGGCUAACUACGUGCCAGCAGCCGCGGUAAU